rnacentral:rRNA from 1 species
GGGCCCGCACAAGCGGCGGAGCAUGCGGAUUAAUUCGAUGCAACGCGAAGAACCUUACCAAGGCUUGACAUAUAGAGGAAAAGUGCAGAAAUGCACUCCCCGCAAGGUCUCUAUACAGGUGGUGCAUGGUUGUCGUCAGCUCGUGUCGUGAGAUGUUGGGUUAAGUCCCGCAACGAGCGCAACCCUCGUCCUAUGUUGCCAGCACGUAAUGGUGGGAACUCAUGGGAUACUGCCGGGGUCAACUCGGAGGAAGGUGGGGAUGACGUCAAAUCAUCAUGCCCCUUAUGUCUUGGGCUUCACGCAUGCUACAAUGGCCGGUACAGAGGGCUGCGAAACCGCGAGGUCAAGCGAA